AGCGGCCGAGCGACCUCCCCCUUUUCGCUUUUUCCCUUUUUCCGGUUUUUUGUUUUUUGGUUUUCUUUUUCCCGUCUUUUCUUUCCCCUCCCCCUACAGGUCAAAGCCUUUAACGUCGUGGCUAAAUCAGAACCGUAUUUUCUCGGCGCAGCCCCGCAGGAAGGAGGGGAGCGCGUUCAUUCAUUCUUCCAUCAACAGUUUUUAAGGCAUGGGGCAAGGCACAGUGGCUCACACCUGUUAUCCCAGCACUUUGGGAGGCCAAGCAGGGAGGAUUGCUUGAGGCCAGGAGGCAGUGAGCUAUGAUCACACCACUGCGUUCCAGCGUGGGCAACAGAGUGAGACCCUGUCUCAAGAAAAAGAAAAAAAGAUUUUAAGGUAAGAUAUCUGGCCUACAUCCAGCUUCAACACUGAUCAGGUUUGAAAACCCACAUUGAAAUUUUUGUUUUAAAUUGUUUCUUGUAUUCUCAAUGUGAUGAAAAUGUUCAGUGGAAGUUUAGGAAGUUUUGGCCGGUGUUGAAGCAGUACAGCUUGUAAAAGCAGUGAAAGAACUUGUCAUAUAACAGCUACAUUACAAGGAGCGAGUGAAGCUAUGAUACAAAGAUAGGAGAGAGUAAAGUCAGAAACAGUCACACCAUGUGAUGACCU
rnacentral:lncRNA from 10 species